rnacentral:rRNA from 1 species
AGGACGAACGCUGGCGGCGUGCUUAACACAUGCAAGUCGAACGGUGAAGCCUUUCGGGGUGGAUCAGUGGCGAACGGGUGAGUAACACGUGGGCAAUCUGCCCUGCACUCUGGGACAAGCCCUGGAAACGGGGUCUAAUACCGGAUAUGACCGUCUUCCGCAUGGUGGAUGGUGUAAAGCUCCGGCGGUGCAGGAUGAGCCCGCGGCCUAUCAGCUUGUUGGUGGGGUGAUGGCCUACCAAGGCGACGGACGGGUA